rnacentral:ribozyme from 1 species
UUUUUUUUUUUUUUUUUUUUUUUUUUUUUUUUUUUUUGCCCACAAUGUUCUAUUAAACUCUCCGGAACGUCUGCAAUGCAG